UUCUAGACCUACAGAUACAAAUUCGUCGUCUCCCUAAACCAGUAAUUGCCAUGGUAAAUUCUUACUCAGUUUUAUCUCUAUAUGUCUGAUAUUCCUGUCAUUUGGGGUGUGAAUUAACCUUCUUUGUCUCAUCUCCAGGUUGCAGGCUAUGCUUGGAGGAGGACAUGUAUUGCACAUGGUAUGCGAUCUAACAAUUGCAGCUGAUAAUGUUAUUUUUGGUCAGACAGGCCCAAAGGUUGGGAGCUUUGAUGCAGGUUACGGAAUUUCCAUUAUGUCUCGCUUGAUCGGUCCUAAAAAAGCACGUGAAAUGUGAUUUUUGGCAAGAUUUUACGGUGUCUCUGAAGCAGAGAAAAUGGGCUUAGUUAACACUAUGGUGCUAGUUAGUUCUUGAUCAAG